UCAAGAUAAAAAGGGCGUAUGGUGGAUGCCUUGGCGCCAGAAGGCGAAGAAGGACGCGGCCAGCGGCGAAACGCCACGGGGAGCUGCAAGCAAGCAUAGAUCCGUGGAUAUCCGAAUGGGGAAACCCGGUACCUGAGAACAGGUAUCAUCCCUACCUGAACACAUAGGGUAGGAGAAGCGAGACCCGGUGAACUGAAACAUCUUAGUAACCGGAGGAAAAGAAAUCAAGCGAGAUCUUCCUAGUAGCGGCGAGCGAACGGGAGAGAGCCCAAACCUGAUAUGUGUAAGCCUGCAAGCGUUGCAUAUGAGGGGUUGAGGGGCUGACAGGACAGAAUUGCAGAGCUGUCAAAGAGUAAAAAAACCGGUAUUUAGGCGAACGAGUCUGGAAAGACCGGCCGUAGAGAGUGAAAGCCUCGUAGCUAAAAAACAACGGACUCUUAGUCAGGACCCCGAGUACCGCCGGACACGUGGAACCCGGUGGGAAGCAGGGAGGACCACCUUCCAAGGCUAAAUACUAACUGGCGACCGAUAGCGAACAGUACCGUGAGGGAAAGGUGAAAAGCACCCCGGGAGGGGAGUGAAAAAGAACCUGAAACCGUAUGCCUACAAACAGUCAGAGCACUAUUUAAUCCUCGGAUUAAAGUGUGAUGGCGUACCUUUUGUAGAAUGGGCCAGCGAGUUACCGUAACAUGCGAGGUUAAAUCUAAAAGGAUGGAGCCGAAGCGAAAGCGAGUCUUAAGAGGGCGAAAGAGUAUGGUGCGGUAGACCCGAAACCGGGUGAUCUAUCCAUGGCCAGGGUGAAGUCUCGGUAACACGAGAUGGAGGCCCGAACCAGAGUACGUUAAAAAGUGCGUGGAUGAGCUGUGGAUAGGGGUGAAAUGCCAAUCGAACCCGGAGAUAGCUGGUUCUCCCCGAAAUAGCUUUAGGGCUAGCGUUAUGGAAGGACUUAUGGGGGUAGAGCACUGGUUAGGCUAGGGGCCUUACUCGGUUACCGAACCUUCCCAAACUCCGAAUACCAUAAGAUAACCCAUAGCAGUCAGUCUGCGGGUAACAAGGUCCGUAGACGAAAGGGAAACAGCCCAGACCAACAGCUAAGGUCCCAAAAUCUAUGCUAAGUGGGAAAGGAUGUAGGGCUGCACAGACAGCCAGGAUGUUGGCUUAGAAGCAGCCACCAUUCAAAGAGUGCGUAAUAGCUCACUGGUCAAGUGGCCCUGCGCCGAAAAUAUAACGGGGCUAAGCAUAGUACCGAAGCUUUGGCAGCGCGCUUCGCGCGCUGGGUAGGGGAGCAUUCUUAUCGGGCAGAAGCUAUACCGGAAGGAGUAGUGGACUGAUAAGAAGAGAGAAUGCUGGCAUAAGUAAGCGAGAAGGCAGGUGAGAAUCCUGCCCGCCGAAAACCUAAGGUUUCCUGGGGAAGGCUCGUCCGCCCAGGGUAAGCCGGGACCUAACCCGAGGCCGAAAGGCGUAGGGGAUGGACAACUGGUUGAAAAUCCAGUGCCACCUGAAAGCCGUUAAGAGUGAAGGGGUGACGCAGGAGGAUAGGUGAAGCGCACGAUUGGAAGAGUGCGUCCAAGCACGAAGAGGGUGAGACAGGCAAAACCGUCUCACGAGACCUUGAGGUGUGAUGGGGAGUGAAACAAAGUAGCGAAGUCAUCGAAUCCAAACUGCCAAGAAAAGCCUCUAGCCAGGAAGAAGGUGCCCGUACCGUAAACCGACACAGGUAGGUGAGGAGAGAAUCCUAAGGCGCGCGAGAGAACCCUCGUUAAGGAACUCGGCAAAAUAACCCCGUAACUUCGGGAGAAGGGGUGCUCUGAUAGCGUGAGUAUAUAAACAUGUACGAGCGUGAGAGAGCCGCAGUGACCAGGCCCAGGCGACUGUUUAGCAAAAACACAGGUCUCUGCCAAAUCGAAAGAUGAAGUAUAGAGGCUGACGCCUGCCCGGUGCUGGAAGGUUAAGGGGAGAGCUUAGCGGCAACGCGAAGGCUUGAGCCGAAGCCCCAGUGAACGGCGGCCGUAACUAUAACGGUCCUAAGGUAGCGAAAUUCCUUGUCUGGUAAGUUCAGACCCGCACGAAAGGCGUAACGAUCUGGGCGCUGUCUCGACGAGGGGCUCGGUGAAAUUGUAAUACCGGUGAAGAUGCCGGUUACCUGCGAUAGGACAGAAAGACCCCGUGGAGCUUUACUGCAGCUUGAUAUUGGAUUUUGGUAGUGCAUGUACAGGAUAGGUGGGAGACUAAGAAUCCAGGUCGCAAGGCUUGGAGGAGUCAAUGGUGGGAUACCACUCUUGAAUUGCUGGAAUUCUAACCUGGGCCCGUAAACCGGGUCAGGGACAUUGUCUGGCGGGCAGUUUGACUGGGGCGGUCGCCUCCCAAAGAGUAACGGAGGCGCCCAAAGGUUUCCUCAGCGCGGAUGGAAAUCGCGCGAA
rnacentral:rRNA from 1 species